GCCCGGCUAGCUCAAUCGGUUAGAGCAUAAGACUCUUAAUCUUGGGGCUGCGAGUUCGAGUCUCGCGUUGGGUG
rnacentral:tRNA from 1 species